GAUUCUUUCAUUGUUCUCCAAGCGUCUUAUCAAGAUCUGCAGGAGAAUGAGGGAGGAUCUGUUUUCUUUAGAAAUGAUAUUUCCCACAACCGGGAUCUCCUUGAGGCGGAAAGCUCCGCAAGGAGGUGCCUGGAAGUGGAACAGAGGAUCCGAUGGGAAGAAAUCCCCAAGAGCAAGGCAAGUCUCGAAAGAGCUGAGCACGACCAUGCUAUUGACUUGUUUAAGCUGGAGGAUCUUAGAAGGGAAUUAGAAAAAAAGCAGGGUAGCUUAGUAAUUCUGAUUCUUUUCUCUUCCAGCCCCCGGGCGGGCCCCUCUUUCUUUUCUCUUCCAGCCCCCGGGCCCCUCUUUGAUAAGGAAAGUUUUCAUUUCUAA
rnacentral:rRNA from 1 species